UUCGAGGCUAGAGUCACAUCCUUACACUUUCCGUUGUCUUGAUGUGCUAGAGUUCUCGAAGAGUAAUUACUGAUACUAUUCACUGGCUGUAGCUCCCUGAUAGUGCAGUCAGUCACCAAAUUAGUGACAUGA